UGAUGAGAUGCAAUGAUGAGAUGAAAUGAUGAAAUGAUGAGAUGAGAUGAGAUGUAAUGAUGAGAGGAAAUGAUGAGAUGUAAUGAAAUGAGAUGAAAUGAAUGAGAUGAAAUAAUGAAAGGAAAUUGAAUUGAGAUAUGAGAUGAAAUGAGAUAAAAUGAGAUGAAAUAAGAAAUGAUGAGAUGAAAUAAUGAAAGGAAAUUGAAUUGAGAUAUGAGAUGAAAUG
rnacentral:lncRNA from 1 species